rnacentral:lncRNA from 1 species
CCCUAGGAGAAGGCACUGUAGCUGUAGCAGCUAGCCGGGACUUCCCUGUUCCCCCAUCACUGAGCUCUCGGCUCUCCUGUGUGUAUCUUUUUAUUUAUUUAUUUUUUCAUUUUUUGUCCGUGCCCUACUAGUCCAUGAGCCAAUCAAUCUGCAGGCAAACCUGCCAUGGUCACAGGGGCUAAUUAGGUGAGGCUGUCCGUUUCCCGUUUGUUGUGAUCUCGUGCGUUCUAGUUUUUUCCGGUAUACGUAGGACCAUGCAUGCAUGUUGGUUUCAAAUCCAAUGGUGUCUGUCGCGUACAGUAUGGACGGACGAUCGAAUCUAAUGCUUUGGUCGUUUGCGCCCGUUGGUUCAGACGUGUCGUACUGUUCCUUCACGAGCGCGCUUCUCACCGUCACCAACAACACCACCAGUAUCUCCACAUGUGACCCUGUUGCACAUAAUAAUUAUUACUAAUGACUAGCUAGCUACUGUAGGUAUCUGAAGAGCAUCUAAAGGCUAAGAGUAAGGGCAAUGAUACAGCUCGCUGCGGGCGAAAUAAACUCUAUUGUGGCAUUUCAUUUAAUGCGGCAUCGACAUACAGAGGCACAUGCAGCCAAUGGAGAAUAAGUGGAGCAGGAGAAUAGCAAAUUGGAACACAUGCCUGUACAUGCCGCUCACUUCAAGCCGGCGUUUCACCAGACGUCCGCUCUGCAUUCUCUCUCCUUUAAUCUCUCUGCCAGCUAGGAUUCAGCCUGUUGCAGUCGGUCAUAAUAAUUGCUCUAAGGCAACUAAAUAGGCUAUACUAUAUUUUAUUUAUCAAGGGCCGAUAUUACUUCACUGGAUGUUCUGUUUAAGUUCAAACAUUUAAAUUGAGAAAGAUCUUAGAUCACCACUCAUAUAGGCUUUGUUUAAAUGCCAAAAAAUUUUGAAGUUGUUGACAUUGUAGCACU